rnacentral:rRNA from 1 species
AUGAUUAGCACCUUACAUAGACACAAACACGCCGAGAUCUAUUCCCGACUUAGCCAAGUGAUCAGAAGAGAGCAAGUUAAGGGAGAACAAGCCAUGGCGGAGACUGCGAUCACGGCUGUGCUCUCCAAGUUCGGGGAGCUCGCGGCGAGUGAGGCCAAGUUGCUGGCUCAGGUGGGGGACGACAUGAUGCUGCUGCGCGACCGGCUGGAGUGGCUUCAGGCCUUCAUCCGCGACGCCGACCGGAAGCGCCGGAGUGGCACCGACGGGCUCACCCGCGUCUGGGUGCGCCAAACACGCGAUGUCGCCUUCCAAGUCGAGGACGCGCUCGAUGAGUUCUUCCACGAGGUUGAUCUAGAAAGCCAGGGUUACCAAGGCUUGAUAAAAUGGUGCAAAUACUUGACGGGCUUCUGGACUCAAAUCAUUGUCCGGCAUGGAUUGUCUAGUCGACUUAAAAGAAUUAAGAGCAGGCUGGAGCAAAUUUCGGAGAACCAAAAGGAAUACAAGAUCGAGCAUACAUCAUUAGCGGCGUUGACAUCUUCCACGACAGCCAUUGCGGCAUGGCGGGAUGAUCGUGCAAGCGCCAUAGGGCUUGACGAACAUGUGAAGACUAUUGAGGGAAUGCUGUUUCGUGAGGAUCAUCCAGAGCCAAUGUUCAUCUCCAUAUUUGGAGAGAGUGGUGUCGGAAAGAGCACACUCAUAUCUGUUCUUGGCGACAAAAUUCAUGAAAACUUUGACCUUAUAUUUGGGUACCCCGUCGUACCAGAUUCGAGCACGGAAGAUCUUCUCCGGGAAAUCUACCGGAGAAUAGCAGAACAUUGCACAGAAGAAGAAAAAGCAAACUGUGGUGAGUCAAGGGAAGCCAUUCAUACCCCUGGCAAGAUCCGUCGCUUACUAGCGAAUAAAAAGUACCUGAUGAUUCUUAGUGGGAUAUCCUCAAAAACCAUGCUCAACUGUGUGAGAGCGAGCCUUCCAGUUGGCAAUACUGGUAGCAGUGUGGUACUCGUAUUGGAUAGUGAGUACGAAGAAGUAGCAUGGCAUGCUAAUAGCAUGAACAAAGACGGUGUCAACAAAAUCCACCUGUUGAGCCGUCUAGAUGAAAAACAGAGCGGACAGUUGUUCCGUUCGAGGGCCUUCAGGAAACAAGAAUACAGUGAGAGUGAACACAUGGGCAUAUACGACAGGAUCAUGUCGCACUGGAGGUCCUUCAGGAAAGAAGAGUCCAACGAAGAGGGAAACACGAGGAUGUAUGACAAGAUCGUUUACGAUAUAACAGGGGGUUACCCUCUGGCUAUAGUGGUUCUCGCUGGACUGCUCCGAUUCAAAGAGAAGCCAGGGCAGUGGGAAGCAGUGCUGCAACAGCUUAGGCCUGGACCAGGAACGGAGGAGAAACAGGACAGCAGAGGCAACCAGAUAACUGAAGAUGUACAGGGGAAGUGUAUCGAGUGGCAGACAGGCCCUGCAACACAAGCUAACACGUCCACAACAACGACGAUUGAGAGGGUCUUCUGGGCAAGCUUUGAAGACCUUCCCAACGACCUUAAGUCAUGCUUCCUCUACUUUGCGGCUUUCCCCAAGAACAUUGUUCAGUACGCCAGUCAGAUGGUGCAGAUGUGGAUGGCGGAGGGUUUCAUCAAGCCACAGAAGGGCAAGAGUAUGGAGGAGCUGGGUCAUGACUACCUCAAGGAAAUGGUCUUGAGAUGCCUUGUUCAAAUUGAAGAUACGAAUGCCGCCGGUGGCAUAGAGGGGGUCAGGGUUCAGAGGAACCUCCACGGGUUCCUGCAUUCAGAGGCUCGCGAGGCUGGCUUCGUCGAGGUCCAUGACAUGCAUGAUGCCUUUGUUCCAUCGUCGGUGCGCCGCCUCUCUUUCAUGAGCUUUGGUGGUAGGUAUACCACGGUCACCAACAAAUUCCCUAAGCUGCGUUCCUUCAUAUGUCGGGUCGAGGAGGAAGAUGAGCAGAGCGAUGACAGCCAAGGUGUGGACAUGAAGCAUCGUUGGCAUGACAUGAGGUUUCUGCGCAGGUCCAAGUUCAUGCGCCUCAUCUCCUUAAAGGGACUGAGACUUAACAAGUUGCCUGAUGACAUUGGCUGCAUGGUCCACCAGCGGUACCUUCGUGUUGACAGCAAAGACCUUAAGGAUCUCCCGUCCAGCAUGAAGAGGCUGACCAAUCUGCAGACACUGGACAUAAGGGGCACUCAGGUGGAGGAGAUUCACAUUUCCUUGUGGACGAUGAAGACACUGCGGCAUGUGCUCGCAGACAACCUCAAGCUUCCACCCGUCCAGGUCUUUCCCAUCAGAAAAGAACUGGAUGAGCUGCAGACAGUGCAUGGUGUGAAGCCCCACCACCAAGGGGAAUGGGACCAGCUCAACUGCCCGCUGCUCAAGAUGACAAAGCUCCGGUCGCUGGAGCUGCAAGGCUUGGAGGAUGCUAAGCACGGGGCCGCACUCAAGGCUGCUCUCGGGAGGAUGCAUCUCCUUGGCCACUUGAAGCUGAAAGGCGACGAGAUCCCUCCGUGUGUCUUCACUGAGCAGGGCCUUCAGUAUCUUCAGACGGUGGAGCUGGAGGGUCCGGUGCAAUGGCCGCCUGCCGACGCGUUUAAUGAGCUUCGCAUCCCCCGACCAAACCUUGUUCAGCUCAGCCUCACGGAUACGAAUGAUGCGCCGCAAGACAUCCAAGAGGAACUCAGAAAGGCAGGCUUUAACCGCUCCACAUCCAGGCUCAGGACAGUUUAUCGGCUUCCGUACCGAUAA